CUUAGCUGAGACCUCAAGCUAAAGCACAGCGACUUGGUUUGUCGCGGUUUCAGGCGUUAAUAUCAAGCCCACAGGAAGGAUUUAUCCAUUUAAAAACAUCUAACAGAUGAAAACCAAACACUCCUAUAAGAAUUGAUGGCAGAUGACCUGCUCAACAUGAUUCCUGUCACCUAUCACAGCAUGCUGUCGUCUGCAAACAGCGGACACCCCAACCCUCUCUUGGAUCGUGUUUUGAACUCUUCAAACGUGAGGUGUUGUCCGAAAUGUGGAUUUUCUUGUACAGAUGCAGCAGAGCUCAAGAAGCAUGUGAUGGAGCACAAGGGGACGAGAUUUUACUGUUUUUACUGCAACAAAGUCUCGUUCAGUGAGGCAGAGUUAAAUGCUCACCUGAAGGAACACAAUUCAAAGUAUCCGUUCAACUGCCCUCACUGUGGACAGGGCUACAUGAGGAGGCUGUGCCUUGUGAAUCACAUCGAGCGUGUACAUAGUAAAGUCAUGAGUCAAGGACCUGUUAAGACUGGCAUGAUUACAAAUCCACAUGUUCCUGCCUCCAGUGCUUUAUCAAGUGUUUCCACUGCGGAUCCAUCAUUGCUUCGACCGACUGUUCGGGUGAAAGUACCUGCGCUGAGCUCAUCUGUAGCCAGGCUGGGUAAAGAUGAACAAAGAGGCAAAACACUGCACACUAAUGUAUCAAAUGCUACUAAUGGUAGUGCAGAACUUUUGUCCCCUUUGAACGGACUCUUUCAGCACAGCAGAGCUUUGACGGUUUCUCUUCCCGAGGAAAUUACGAUCCCUAAUGGCUGUAUGGUGGAACUUGUUGAGGUGAAAACUGUCAACGGCACAAAGGAGCUAAAGCUGAGGAUCGUCUCUCAACAGGGGAACGAGUCUGUGAUAAAAGACACAAGGACCACAGUUUCGCAAAACGCAGCACUAGGACAGCCAAUCUUAUCCGCAUUAAAUCACACAAACACAGUUAAGUCUAUGAAUAUGGGGAUGUGCACUAUUAACAGGAAACAGUGUGAAACAAAAUCUGUGAGUUUGGAGCGUCCUGCAAUUGUCCCGGUACAUUUUUCCAAAAACCUCCCGAAUCAAGUCAGCAAAGGCAAAGUUGGAUUAAAAAGAACCUUGCCGGAAAUAAUCAAUCUGGAAUAUCAUGAAGUUGUUCCAAACAAGGUUCCCAAAAUUCUUGUGAAUCCUGUAAGAGAAGAAAACUGUGGGAUCAGAGUUGCUCAGAGAGAUCUGGGGAACCACGCAAAUCUGCACUCCGUUAUCUCCAACAGGGCAAGGUCGACUGGCGCCCUGCAUCGAGAAAACAAGGGAACACAUGUUUCUCAGAGAGCGGUGGAUGAUAGAAGGAAUUUAAUUGAUCAUUCCAAAGGUGUUCCACCCGUGAAGGAAAGUGAGGUAAAAGUAAUUCCUAGUGAUGUGUCCCGGCAUGUAAAACUUGAACCCGGGGAGAUAAGGGAAGAGGACUACAUUAACUUGAAAACAAAGAAAGGGGCAGUUGGUUUUAAGCAGCAAAAAUCUGCCUCCCCUUCCUUGAAUGUUCUCUCAGCUGGCCAAGUGAGGCCUCCAGCCAUUUCAGUUUGUAAGGAUAAUGUUGCAAAUUCUUCCUUUUCAAUACCCAGGACACCAAUAGACUCAGGCAAAACACCGGCCCUUUGUAAUCGCACAAAUUCAAAGGUCUCAUCUUGGGUCCAGGAAGUGAGAUCCAAUGAGAGAUUGGCAGAAGGAGACCUGCCAGAGUCUGAGGGUUUUCCCAUCAUAUCUUCUGUGUUUUCAUUAAGUCAACAAUCAGAGGACGGCCAAGGCUCCUUUCAACCGCUGGUAAUGGCUCUGCGUGGUAUAGUGAUGGAUAAAAGCAACAGUUCUGUUUGUACAAUUCUAAAUAACAUCAACACAACGAACAGCACAGAGCAGGCGAUGGAGGCAGAAAAAUCGAAACUCUUCAGUCGGAUGUCGACUAUCGAUGGAUCCAUUAUCCGUCACCUUUUAUUGACUGACCGGAAAAUCGAUACUAUAAAAGUGGAGGGGCAGGAUAAAGGCAUUCAACACCCUCCUUCACUGACCCUCAACAACUUCCUUGUCAAAGAGGAACAAAAUAAUACUACGCUAACGGACAAAAGUAAAUGCGACCACACUCCUGAGUCAAACUCGUGCGUAAAAGAUGAGAAAUCCAAAGUUGACGCACAGGUAAAUGCACAUGCCACUACGACGCCUCCACAGGAAGUGGCACAAAGUGAGCAUGACAUGUCAAAGUUUCUGACUGUCUCUCUGAAAAGGGUGCAAGUAGGCGUGUGGAAAAAAACCAAGAAGGGACUAAAACCUAGAAUACCCAAAUAUGGGACUCCGGUACCGGCAUCCAGUCUGACUGACAGUACAGUUAUUUAUCCGAUGCCACUGAAGGGAGACCAGCUGGUGAAGCGCCCGGGCCCCAACCAGCCCGUGGUGGUGCUCAAUCACCCCAAGCCCCGGACCAACCGUCAGAGAGUGAGGACAGACAGGUUGGAAACAGGAGCCUUGGAGGGCGCUCCAAAGUGCAACAUCUUCAAAAUGAGGCUGAGCAAAGUGAUGGGGCAGAAGUAUGAGGUAAUGGGCUGCACUGUUGGAGUCUUUCAGUGAAAUUAUCAGAUAAUAUCACUGGACAUUUAUCUGAAAACAUUUGUUUUAAAAUACUUAAAAAAGGACACUAUAUGGACAUUUGUUCUCUAAGGCAGCAUUAGAUUGGAAGGAAUGGACUUCUGAGUAUCAUGGAACCUUGUGUGUUACAUUUAUGUUGUUUAUCUAGGCAUGGGAUGAGAAAUACUAAGUGCAAUGGAUGAAACACGGACCAUAUUCUGGAGUAGAUUAGAAAUACACAGAUGUUUAAGUACUGUUUCAGAAGUUUGAUAAACCAAUAGAGUCAGAGUCGAGGCACAAAUAAUGCAUGCUGUUUGCGUAAAAAAUUAAAAGGAAAAUACUGUAUUCAUUUUUUUUUUUGCGUCACUUAUGUUUUGCAUCUGGCCACUCUAAGACACAAACUGAAUUUGGUGCAUCUGAGAUUAUCAAAUUGUGUGGGAACCCAAUCAGAAUAUAGGCAAAGUCAUUAUCAUAAUAUGCACACAAUUUUAAUGAUGGAAAGAUCUGUGGUGAAUAUCAAGUCGGACUGCAACUAAUAAGUAUUUUCACUGUUGAUUUAAAUAGUGAAAAUAAAUAUGUUGCUCAGUGUUCACUGAAGCUCAAGAUGAUCCUCAAAUGUCUUUUUUUUUCUCUCCAAAACUCAAAGAUAUUAAGUAUUAUAGAGGAUUAAAGAAACCAGAAAAUGUUUCCAUCAAUAAGCUGGAAUCAAUUAAUUGAAUUAAACAAAUUUCUUUGGAACCGUUAAAAUGUUUGUGAGGAAAAUGUAAUAGUUAGCAAUAGAUUGAUCUUCGCAGAUUUAAAAUAUGAUAACGUGUUUGAUUUGUGCAAAAAUUUAAUAUAAAUUGUCGAUUCAACAGCCUUUUUUGGAUUAAAUUUUUUCGCACAAAACAACACAGGAAAACAAUUAAUUAACAGUACUAUAUUUUGACAGUGAGCACUUGCAAGCCUACAGAGGUUUUAAUAGUCAGCUGUGUCUCUUUGUCUGCAUUUGUUGUUACAUUUUAAAUAGACACUAUGGGAACGCAGACAAUGUCAUAUGUGCAGCAAUCGGUAUCACUCCGUAGUGUCGUGGUGCAUUCAGGCACUCUUUGCGAACUCUUACAUUUGGGAAAUCCUGCAUGACUAUUUCCCAGACCAACAGUCACUGGUACCUUCAUCAAAUGGACUGGACCAAUGCAAGGUGUAAAUAAUGGAAGCUGGGUUUGUUCUCAUUUUGGAUGUGUUGUGAACCAUGGGGGGUUUCAGAAAAAAAGAGGGUUGCCAGCUUUUUUUUUGUGUUUGCAUGUGUUUUGUGAAGUGAAUUGUCACAGUUGUACUUAUUAUUCUUAUAAUGUGCUCCAGUUUCUUAGCAGUAUUUACCACUUUGCAGGCCGUUCUCAUUGAUAAACUCUAUUUUCUUAUUUGCCAGUUUCAUGACGUUUCAAUGUGGAAUGUAUCGCAGAUAUUUGAGAUUUAUUUGAGUGUUAUGAAAUCUUGUGCCAUACAGUUUCCUGUCUUUAAUGUACUUCAAUGUAAAGCCUCUGUAGCUCCUUAAAUAGUGCUGCAUAAUGGAUCUGAUAAAAGCACCUCAGUUCACAACUGUAACAGAAAACCACGUGCGUGUGUUUUUAAUUAUGUAAAUACUAAGUGACUGGUGAUCCUGGGUUUAAAGUUGUCUUUUUUUAGUAACCAUUGAAAGGUCACAAACUCUCUCUUUACAGACGGUUUACAACAGCAUUACAACAGCAGCGUGUUGUGUUUAAAAUCUAACCAUGAUGUAUUAAGUGAUAGACCUACGAUUACAUUUAUAGGUUUGUCUUGCCCAGUUUAUAUUGUGUAAAUAUGUUUUGAUCAACAUAUUUUUAUCGUGUAAAUACCUAUACAUAUAAAAUGUGAUAAAUGGUGUUCAUACUCUUUAGGAGAUGGUAACCAUUCCACAGCCUCGUCUACAUUGUGCUUUACUUGUCUAACGCUGCAGUGUCUAUAGCUGGUGUGCUGUAUUGUUUAUUUUAUUAUUAUUUAAAUGUGUCACACUUAUUUCUGAAUGUUUUUCUUUGCCUUUAUUCACUUCUCAAUGUAUUACAUGCUCAAUGUGCAUUAUCGUGUCUCAUGCUUUUAUAAAUAACAAUUGUGUAACUACAUUUUUCUAUUAAAACAUGAUAAAAGAUU